rnacentral:rRNA from 1 species
GACGAACGCUGGCGGCGUGCCUAAUACAUGCAAGUAGAACGCUGAAGCGAGGAGCUUACUCUUCGUGGAUGAGUUGCGAACGGGUGAGUAACGCGUAGGUAACCUGCCUUGUAGCGGGGGAUAACUAUUGGAAACGAUAGCUAAUACCGCAUAACAAUGGAUGACACAUGUCAUUUAUUUGAAAGGGGCAAUUGCUCCACUACAUGAUGGACCUGCGUUGUAUUAGCUAGUAGGUGAGGUAAUGGCUCACCUAGGCGACGAUACAUAGCCGACCUGAGAGGGUGAGCGGCCACCCUGAGAGUGAGACACGGCACAGACUCCUACGGGAGGCAGCAGUAGGGAAUCUUCGGCAAUGGGGGCAACCCUGAGCGAGCAACGCCGAGUGAGUGAAGAAGGUUUUCGGAUCGUAAGGCUCUGUUGUAAGUCAAGAACGGGUGUGAGAGUGGAAAGUUCACACUGUGACGGUAGCUUAUCAGAAAGGGACGGCUAACUACGUG